AGAGGACGUGAAACCGGUGAGGAGGAAACGGAUAGAGUCGGCGUAUCUUGCAAGUAUUCAAUUACUUUAUUAUUGUGUUGUUAUCUCUGAGCUCCAGAUUGGGACAGAGUGAAGCAGCAUGAUUUUUGUGAUGCAUUUACUUGUCUGGCGUGUGGGGGUAUCUGAGAUGAUUUGCACCGACUUUUGAGGCCAGCUUGCUGGUACCCAACAGUGUUACAUUUUUCUCUUGGAUAUUCUAAGUCGGCUUACGAGAUUUUUUGUUUGAUCUAGUGCAAGUAACGCCCCAUGCGAACGUGCUAUUCAAUUACCUCCGUGCAGUAAAGCGCUCCUACCCCCCCCCCAUGUAACACCGGUCAUUUAUUUCAACCGUCUUGAACACGACCAAGGAGUUUAAUGAGUGCGCAGUUUUUGGGUGCUGAAACCCCCAAGGAAAUGAAAGUAACUGACCCAUAAAGUCUGAUGUGCAACUUUUUUCAAAAAAUGCAUCGAGGCCCCCUUCUACUGUUUACGUAAGGUGGCGGAGAGCGUCCCAGUGAGACCGAAAGAUGUGAACUUUCCUGACACGACAAACCUGACGAAACUCUCGUGGAACCCGAAGCGUUCUGACCUGCAAACGAUCUCUGAUUGGUAUAGGGCCAAAGAAAAUCGACCAUCUAUACUGUUCCCUUCCAAAUUCACUUUCC
rnacentral:rRNA from 1 species